AGGAUCAUUACUGAGUUGUUGACACGAGCUGUUGCUGGUCCUCAAAACAAGGGGGCAUGUGCACGCUCUGUUCACACAUCCACUCACACCUGUGCACCCCCUGUAGUUCUAUGGUUUGGAGGACUUUCCGUCUUCUUCCUGUAGUUCUAUGUCUUUACACAUACACCGUAGUGAAGUCUUAUGGAAUGCGCACCGCGUUUAACGCAAUAAAAUACAACUUUCAGCAACGGAUCUCUUGGCUCUCGCAUCGAUGAAGAACGCAGCGAAAUGCGAUAAGUAAUGUGAAUUGCAGAAUUCAGUGAAUCAUCGAAUCUUUGAACGCACCUUGCGCCUCUUGGCUAUUCCGAGGGGCAUGCCUGUUUGAGUAUCAUGAACACCUCAACUCUCACGGUUCACCUGUGAUGAGCUUGGACUUAUGGAGGUUUUGCUGGCCUGUGGCCGGCUCCUCUCAAAUGGAUCAGCUUACCAGUGUUUGGUGGCGUCAUGGGUGUGAUAACUAUCUACGCUUGUGGCUGUCUGCCAGGUAACCUUCAGUGAUGGAGGUUUGCUGGGGCUUACAAAUGUCUCUCCUCAGAGAAGACAGCUUUUUGAACGUUCGAUCUCAAAUCAGGUAGGACUACCCGCUGAACUUAAGCAUAUCAAUAAGCGGAGGAAAAGAAACUAACAAGGAUUCCCCUAGUAACUGCGAGUGAAGCGGGAAGAGCUCAAAUUUAAAAUCUGGCAUGCCUCUGGCUGUCCGAGUUGUAGUCU
rnacentral:rRNA from 1 species